rnacentral:lncRNA from 1 species
UACCCGAAGCCCGCUAGAGAGGCCGGGCCGGGCCGGCGCGGCCGCCCGGAACCCGACCCGCUGCCCCGCGCAGCUGCGUCGUCGGCAGCCUGGAGUCCUGGUGGCCGAGGACUGCGGGAUCCUGUACCUGAAGGGCGCCAGCCCAGCGCAGGAUGCCGGCCUCGGCGGCUCAGGAAGCUGCCAGAGGACAGACAGGAGGCGAGGGCGCGGGCGCGGGCGGCUCUGCGCUCGGCCCGCCCGGCCCCUCAGCUGCCCUUGACUUGUGGACGCGGCCCCCACGCCGCCCCUGCCGCCCUAAAAUCUGUUUCUGGCCACCGCCUACCAAAUCUGCUUUCUGUUCAUCUCUGCCUCCUCCAUUUCUAGCAGGUGGAGAAAUGGGAGCUGGAAAACCUUCCGGGAGAUUGUAAUAAAAAUGGAAGAAGAACCAAGUUCUGCUUUGGACUCUGAAGAGACUUUUAAUUCUUGUAGAAACCAAAGACAAAACAUGACCUUUUGUUGUAAUCUCCACAGUGGAGACACUUUUGAGAGGAGAAAGAAACAUUUUUGAUCGAUGAGCAUGUCUUCUUGACAAAUGAUAGUAGAACUGGAAAGAAUGGGAAGAACAACGUGUAAACAACAAUUACUUGGCAACAAGGGCAGAACAUGGGCAGCUGAGAAGCAGCAGGUUCCGCAGCAUUUGCUGGAAGAAACCUACAGAGGCAGAACCUGCAGCUAUGGAGAGUUGACUGUAUUGUUCAAAACCUGUAGCCCUCAUCGAACAGAAUGUCGAAGUCUCCCAGAUGUGAAAUUACAGCUAUAUAGGAUGUUGAAGCAUCCUGGACCCAAGGAUAUAUCCAUGCAAGUAAAGGGACAACUUUCUCUAUCUCUAGACUCAUAUGAGUAUUUAUGCAGUUAUGUGUGUACCUUAGAGGUUCUUUCAAUUUUUCUGCCCAUUUACACAAACGCACACAACUAA